rnacentral:rRNA from 1 species
UUGUCUCAAAGAUUAAGCCAUGCAUGUCUCAGUACAAGCCGAAUUAAGGUGAAACCGCGAAAGGCUCAUUAAAUCAGUUAUGGUUCCUUAGAUCGUACCCACAUUUACUUGGAUAACUGUGGUAAUUCUAGAGCUAAUACAUGCAAACAGAGCUCCGACCGGAGACGGAAGGAGCGCUUUUAUUAGAACAAAACCAAUCGGUGGCGGGUUCGCCUGUCAUCGUAUAACUUGGUGACUCUGAAUAACUUUAAGCUGAUCGCACGGUCUAGCACCGGCGACGCAUCUUUCAAAUGUCUGCCUUAUCAACUGUCGAUGGUAGGUUCUGCGCCUACCAUGGUCGUAACGGGUAACGGGGAAUCAGGGUUCGAUUCCGGAGAGGGAGCCUGAGAAACGGCUACCACAUCCAAGGAAGGCAGCAGGCGCGCAAAUUACCCACUCCCGGCACGGGGAGGUAGUGACGAAAAAUAACGAUACGGGACUCAUCCGAGGCCCCGUAAUCGGAAUGAGAACACUCUAAACCCUUUAACGAGGAUCAAUUGGAGGGCAAGUCUGGUGCCAGCAGCCGCGGUAAUUCCAGCUCCAAUAGCGUAUAUUAAAGUUGUUGCGGUUAAAAAGCUCGUAGUCGAAUUUGUGUCCCACGCCGCCGGUUCAUCGUCCGCGGUGUCAACUGGCGUGUCGCAGGACGUCCUGCCGGUGGGCUUAGCUCUUCGCGGGCGACGCCCUACUCAAUCCCGCCGCGGUGCUCUUCAUUGAGUGUCGAGGUGGGCCGGCACGUUUACUUUGAACAAAUUAGAGUGCUUAAAGCAGGCUAAAAUUUCGCCUGAAUACUGUGUGCAUGGAAUAAUGGAAUAGGACCUCGGUUCUAUUUUGUUGGUUUUCGGAACCCCGAGGUAAUGAUUAAUAGGAACGGAUGGGGGCAUUCGUAUUGCGACGUUAGAGGUGAAAUUCUUGGACCGUCGCAAGACGGACAGAAGCGAAAGCAUUUGCCAAAAACGCUUUCAUUGAUCAAGAACGAAAGUUAGAGGUUCGAAGGCGAUCAGAUACCGCCCUAGUUCUAACCAUAAACGAUGCCAGCUAGCGAUCCGCCGACGUUCCUCCGAUGACUCGGCGGGCAGCUUCCGGGAAACCAAAGCUUUUGGGUUCCGGGGGAAGUAUGGUUGCAAAGCUGAAACUUAAAGGAAUUGACGGAAGGGCACCACCAGGAGUGGAGCCUGCGGCUUAAUUUGACUCAACACGGGAAAUCUCACCAGGCCCGGACACCGGAAGGAUUGACAGAUUGAGAGCUCUUUCUUGAUUCGGUGGGUGGUGGUGCAUGGCCG